CGGUCUGUUGUAGGGCGAGCCAGUUUUCGCGCAUCCCUCGUCAACCCUCAAGAAGCCUACUCACUACAAACUAACAACGGUGUAUAAAACACACAACACACUAGCAUACAUACGAGUACCGUGGGACAGCGGGUAUGACACACUUCAGUGUCUGUAUUGAUAACGUGAUAGUCCACCGUUGCACUGAAAAAUAGUUUUAAUAAUUGUAAAACGCAAUUAACGUUAAUUAUCGAUCGAGCAUAUUCGUGGAAAUUAAUUAAUAAGUACUAGUGUAAUCGGUGGUGUAAUUUAUAGAUAGACACAUCCAUUGUAUCUCUGUUGCCUUGAAAGCUCCGACAGAACUCAACAAAAUCAAUUGAUUAAAGAGCUGCAUUAAAACCAACAAAUGCCAAUGUGUAAAUAGUAAAAAUCAAUGUGAGACAUUAAAUGUUAACGUUUGUUUGAGGUAAAAAAGUUAUAAGGGUGGCGCUGGAAUAUUAUUUCACACCUUAACCGAAAAAGUUAAUUAUAACUCACUAAUAAUUAUUUAUAAUUCUAAUUAUAUUCACAAUCAUAAUCCACAAGUACAAGCUGAGAGAUCUUCAACAAACGCCAGUAAAUACUGCUUUGCAGUGAUAUAUAUGUCAUGUGUGGAUUUUUAUAUAUUUUUCCGCGACAUGAGUGUUGUCAUUAAAGUGAAGCUACUCGAGCUAACACGACAAGAUGAGUUGAAUUCACAAAAGCUCACAAAGCAAAGGUCACUUUAUAAAAGCUUUAUGAAUCGCUUGUAAGAUUUUUUUCUCUGGUUGAUUAUUAAUUGAUAUUAUAUUUAAGUGCUGUGAAAAUAUGAAUUUGACUUUUGGAAAUUUUAGGUAUUAUUUUCGUUUGGAGAACAGUUGAUAAUUCUUGAACCAUUAUUUGGAUAUGCAUAUGUGAGGUGCAUGUAUAUCGGGUAAUAGUAAUGGCGAAACACCUGUUUCAGUACGCCAGUGACCUCUUUUCACAAGAAACAAACUUGGAAUUUAAUUACAAGAAAUAUUAUUUUUAUUGUCGGCUAUCAUGAUAUGGAAUUAUAUUUUAUUAUCGGGGUUAGCUCGAAAAACUUUAAAUAAUGCGAAAUAAAUCUGGAUCGAACAAGCCUCAGUGAUCAUGAGGGAUGCUAAUAGUGAUGAAAUAAAUUUACAUGUUGAUAAUUAUGAUAAUAAAAAUAAUAAUUAUGGUGAAGACAAUGACUAUUGCUGGUGGUGCUGGAUAACUUAUUAUUUGCAGUAUUUUAAAUCCAUCCUACUGAACAACGAUACUGUCGAUUACAAGCACGGCUCUUUAAUACGCUGUGCAGACCAAAAUCACUUAUUGAUUUGUAAUUAUAAUUAUAAUAAUAGUAGUAAUAGUAAUAAUUAUUCGAGUGAUAAGUUUUACCGUAAAUGGAAUCGCUGGAGGCGUCAAAGUGAAUUUGUUACUUUAUAUGAUAAUUACGAUGACAGUGACAAUACCCAAGGAUCUAAUUUAGUGACUUUAGAAUUCGGAGUUAGGUUAAAUUGUACGCUGCAUUGGGCACUCGGUGGCGGAUGACUCGGGCAGGAGCACCUUUUUCCGUAGAAUUAGACCUUUUUUGGAGGUUCGGUCAUGACCAAAGUGGAAACGAUGAUGGUAAUGAUAAUGAUAAUGAUGAUGAAGAUGAUAAUGAUGAUGAUGGUGGCACUGUGAGGAGGCUUUGUGCUUUGGGGCAUUCAUUGGUAACGAUUACAGUGACUCGGAAAAAUCGGUGCGCUUGUAGUAGUUGUUGUUUCUGUGGGUUUAUGUUCGGUUUCUGUUCACCGGGAUUCCCAGUGUAGGGAUUGUAGUGAUGGCGGACUUACCUGAUAUGUCACACCUCACUCCCGAGGAGAGGCGCAUCAUUGAAGAGGUUAUGAUGCGACAGAAGCAGGAAGAGGAUCGGGAGAAUGAAAUCAUGAGACGAAAGCAAGACGAAGUGCAAAUUCUAGAAGAAACGAUACGUGCCCGAUCUGAAAAACACAAGAAAGCAGGCAUUGAGCUGGACGCGACAUGUGACAUAUGCAUGAAGACUAAGUUUGCGGAUGGUGUUGGUCACAUCUGCAACUACUGCAACAUCCGGUGUUGUGCGCGUUGUGGUGGCAAAGUCACGCUUAGAUCUAACAAGGUGAUAUGGGUGUGCAUAGUGUGUCGUAAAAAGCAAGAACUUCUGUCAAAAACCGGGCAGUGGAUGGUGAAAACCGGGCUGGGGGCCGCGGACCAGGCGAUGAUGAGAAGGAUGCAGGAGGACUUGCAGAAUGAAGGACCACCUGGGCGUACAGAGUUGACUCAAGACAAACGCCCGAAACUAGAACGCGCCCACAGCGCCGCUGAAAAGGAAAACCUUCCAUUGUUGCAACGUAGCGGAAGUGCACUUAGACGGCAGUAUUCCCAACAAGAACAGAUUCCAAAUCGUCGAUUGUCAACAAGUGACAGCGGCGUAGAAAUGUCAGUAUCACCUCACUCGCGUAGUCUGCCAACACCUCACGUGGUCGUGGGGUCAUACCCUCAACAAACACCUCGUCACCCAGCGGCCUUUCCCGAAGACGACCCGAACAUCUACCGAGGGGAGUUGGACGGUUUGAUGAAACAGCACGCCCAAAUGUAUCAACGAUCUCGCCAAAUUUAUCAGGAGCAGAAUUCAAACAUGCCGAUGACUUACGGUCACUCGGGUGUUGACAACUCGCGAGUGCAUCAAUCACAGCAGCAUCAAAUUCACCAGGUACAAGGGAAACAUCUGUCGCAAGCAAUCCCACCAACUGGUCAAAAUACCGGGCAAUUACACCAGCAGCGCAGUUUCAGCAGCAGUGAGGAGGAACGAAGCACACCUGAGUGUGCAAGCGAUGAACCUGAUGAGUCGGAAAAGGGUGAAAAGCGAGCGCCAAUAGUCGCGAGCCCAAGGAGCCCCAGGAGUAAAGCUGGUGACCGAAUUUACCGGCAAGCGAUGCUCGACGAGAAGAUGAAGAAAUUUCUCGCGCAAUCUCAGGCGAGCAGCGACGGCCAGAAAAUAAUAGUCCACAUGAUUCUCCGUAAAUCCGCUGGACCUGGAAGUAUAUUGGGCCUUAAAGUUGCCGGCGGACAAUUAUUGGAUGACGGUAGAAUAGGUGCUGUGAUUGAAAAAGUCAAAGAGGGCACACCCGCGGCUGUUGAUGGUCAAUUGAGACCAGGGGACGAAGUGAUCGAUUGGAACGGGCACUGCCUGCAAGGGAAAAGUUCCCAAGAAGUAGCGAACAUAAUCGCGGAGUCGCGGGACGAAAAUCAAGUGGAACUAAUUGUCGGGAAAAACCACCCCGACGCAACAAAUAAUUCAAUAACCUGUAGUAAUUUACCCUCUGCAACAACGACGUCAAUGGUACCACAGAGACGCAUCGCUGCGCAAGCCCAGUGGCGGCAAACCCACGAAACCAUGCCUAUUUUGCAGCAGCCUCAUCACAGAGGUCUUAAGAAAUGUAUAUUAUGGGAAUUAUACGAUGUGAGGAGAGAAAAACCAUCAGUGCUAGUAACAUCACCGGGAUCACCGGAUCUACACGGGCAGAGUCGUAACAGACAUCCCCGUUAUCCAACGACAAUAGCGAAUGUUGGUGGCAAGUUACAAGUUAAGUUAGAUUUCAAUCCAGCGUGUAACAGACUGAGUGUUACCGUUUUUCGUGCUACUGAAUUAACGCCGAGGAGUAAUGGGCAACCACGAAAUCCUUACGCCAAAGUUUAUCUUCUUCCUGACAGAAACGAAAUGUCUAAGAGACGAACGAAAACCUUGGCAAACACAAACGACCCCAAGUGGAACGAAACAUUCGACUACAACAUAAGAAAGUCGGAACUGAAACGCAAGUGGUUAGAGGUGUCAGUGUGGGAUUUUACAAUUCACGAGGCCAAUGACUUUUUAGGAGAGGCCAUUUUAGAGCUCAACAAUUUAAACGAAAAAUCACCGUGGCUGUGGCAGAAUUUGGUACCGCAUGAAGAACGUCGACCAAUUGGACAAUAUCACGAGCCAUACGAUGACAUAGCGAUAACUCCAGUUGAUUACCAUCUUAGUCCACCCUCGACGGUAUCCCGUCUGAGUGAUUCGGAUACGUCGGAGUACGACAUCACCGAUUGCGACAUACCACGGGAUCAGAGACGAACCGCAGAUGGUGCCAGCAUCAGCAGCCUCGGCAGUUCAUCUAGGUUUCAUAAUAUGCCGUCAAAUUAUAAGCGCCACUAUUCUAGCCCGCCACCGGAGAGAGAGUAUGGAAGUCUGGACAAUGAACACCGCAGUCGGCGGGACAUGUCGUCGACGGGUAGUAAGAGAGCUGCAUUGAUGAUUUCACGCGACCAGCCAGUCUCUAUAUCUGGCUAUCCACAAUGGAGAAAAGACGAACCAACAGCCAGAAGUAUGAUAGGUCAUAGGUCUCACAGUGCAGCGCCUAUGGACUCGCCUUACCUGCGUUAUCGAGGAAGAUCACAAAGUCCGACCGGCCAUCGUUCGUUAUCGCCGCCUGAUCACAGAUCGAUACCUUACACCCACGGAUACAUGCCUACAAGAUUUGGGUCGAGAUCAGCGACCGCAACGCCAACGGGAUCACCUAAAAAACGGCAGUUACCACAAACGCCGUUGUUAAAAGAACGGAUGAUGACGCAGGAUGAUGAAAGACAUCGAUUAAUGAGAUAUCCACACAGACUUGUUCAUACUACUUAUCGAAGCACGGGGAUAGGAGGCUGGGAAAGACAUUACAGCGGACGAUCAGACUCGGAUCUGCUGUCAUCAAUAGGUCACGAUCCACCAUCUCUACCCCACGCCCACCGACUCCACCACAGAACACGUCGCGGGCACCUAAGCCCCGACAAAGACGUCCUCGGGGACUUCGGGGACUCCGACAUGGAGAGCAUUAUUUCUGUCGCGAGUAGCGCUUUUAGCACUCAGUCAGAACGACCCCGCGGAUCCCGGGCAUUGAUACCGACAGUUAAAAACAUAUUGGUACCCAGUGUCAUAUCCCAUUUGCCUUUACCACCCUUAUUUAUUAGGCGCACUAGGCGUAAGCACAAAAUAAAGCAACCUAUCAGCAACAUAAUCACUACAACUAAUAAUAACAACAACAAUAGCAUCACCAACAAAAACAAAGCUAGUAAUAACAAUCUUAACAAUAAAAACAACCGCAUUAGCAUAAGUAAAGAAUGUAAUCAUUAUCAUCCAAUUAGUUAUAGUAUUAAGACCUGGAAACCCCCAUCAAAUAAGUAUCAUAAUCCCGCCACAUUCAUAUCUGAUACCACCACAGUAAAACCUAAAACCACGACCAAUACCUCAACCCUAACCCAAAAUCAUCUCCUCGUACGGAGCAAAUCCGCAGUUGUACGCUCGAUGCACAGAAAACCGCGUGUGCCUAUCGUGAGAUCGCAGACUGUCGACGACAACCUAUUCCGGUACAAUAUCAGCCCCAGCAACGCUACCAGCAGCACCAGUAACUUUAUCAAAGACUUUUGCAUCGAAAAGCCUUCUAAUUCCGCCGAUAACAUCUGCUGCUACUAUGAUUACGAUAGUGGGGCCAGAAAUCGGCCCUACUUUCGUUACACCUCCAAGUAUCCGAACCACGAUGACUUCUUCGUCGAUCUAAGAGGCAGAUCCAAAGUAACUCAAGUGCCUAGGCGUGCCAAAAGUGUCGAAUACGAGUCAGUCUCCAGCAACAUCUUCAGCGACGACAGCCUUAGAACCGCUCGACGGAAAGUAAAGCGAAAUCUAACUGUCACUGGAGACAAACUGCCGUACAUGAACGACCAGAGCAAGUCUUACUACGAUUCAACUGGCGACAGCUCCAAGGCCUCUGAAAGUGUCGUUGAUUCUGAUCAAGACUUCAACAACGAUUUACGCGUAAGAUAUAACGCGCGAUACACGUCCGAUCUCUAUUCGGUGUACCUAGACGAGCACAAUGAUGACAAUUUGGAUAAUGAUCACCAAAUUGACAGUAUCAUCGACGCCGUAGAAGCUAGCAGUGAGUACGAAAGACACUUGUACAAAAGACGCCUGGAUAGCCAGUUGAGUCGAGCUAAAUCCGAUGACAAUCAUUACGGGAUUGACAAUGAGCACAUUUACUGCAGCAUUGACAGCAAUCCCGAGUGUCAUUACGCAAGCGUUAAUGAUUAUGAUAGUAGUAGAUUAGGAACUAAAGUGCCAAAUAAUUAUUGUGAUAAGUUAGUUACUAAUGAUGAGUAUUCUCGUGAUAGUUCUGAUGAUCGGUUGCGUCCAGCCAGAAGAACCAAAAGCACUGAUUCGUAUUUAGAAGAUAGUUAUGAUUAUCAUCAUGGUAGCUACGAAGACUGCCGUGGUAGAUCGCGUAGUUUUGCCGGAAGAACCGAAAGGGAGCCCUUUAUUUCCUUCGAAGCUGCUUAUGAGGAAUUCGCCCCUCAUGAGCGGAAGAAUGUUAAAGUUUUGGAGAAAGCGGAGUCCUCACCCACUCUGCAUGAAGAUGACCAGUCGAUGGCCGAGUGGGAAGUCUCCCAGUCGAGGAGAUUGUCCAGAAGGAGGCGUAACAGCAGUUGUCCAGAAGCUCGCGAUAUCAGGAACCUUGAAAGUCCUUUGACCGAGGCGGUUAGCAUGAACUUCUUCAUGGGUUCGGAUGAUGACUUUGGAUCGACGGAGACAGUUGUGGCUCCGGAUUAUCGGAAGGACUCGAGAAAGGAAGGGAGUUCUGGAGGAAAGAUCAGGAGAAAUGACGAUGAUCGUCAUCGUGAAGAGUAUUUCAGAGGUCCUGUUAGGACUGAUCGCUCCGGGUCGUACCCUGGACCAGCUAGACGUGGGUUUGAUGAUGAGCUUGAGUCCUCGAGGAACCGCAAGACCAGUUGUCCAGAGUGCAGGGACUUGUGGCGCGAGCAUCGGUACACUGUCGCCUAUCCAGAUGGUAGGAAAUCCUCUCGCGGUUCUGCUGAUGGUGAUUGGUCAAGGGAGUUCUGUCCAGACUGCCCCCCAGAACGGGCGAAGAUGCCCCGGGAAGGAGCAAGAGAUCUUGGGAAGAGCAAGAAGAGCGAUAGGCGAUUGGCUGGUGAUGAACGCGAACAAAGUGGCAGCAAAAGGAAUGUCGCGAUAAGUGACACGCUCGAGUACUACGAGUACUCGAUGGAAAGCGAGAGCCAGUGCAGCGAAAAUUGCGGAUUUGGCCCGUAUGACUUAUCACUUAGGCCCCGAAACCGAGCACCCCGCCCCGGUAACGCUAAUUCAAAUAUCUUUGAUUCCCAAACCGCUACCUCCGACACUGAUAAAAAUCACCCACGGGUCAACGAUCGUCGUUAUGAUACCGUUCCACGACGCAAACGCCGUGAUUCGUCCGUUAUCAAUGCCAAUGAUGCUGCCAAUGAUGACACUGGUACGUCCUUGAAAUCUGGUUAUAAAUUGACUGACCAUCUCUCCAAAUCGUCCGUUGAUUCCGUCCGAAUCAAUUCCAAUGAUCGUACUGCAAAUUCUGAUAAUCUUCCACGAAAACGCAGUGGUGAUUACAACAGUCCUGGUGGCUCCUACGAGAAGAACACCAGGCAUCAGGUCACCGGUAAUGGCCACAAUGGGCAUCCCAAGAGAGGACAGUUCAGUAGGAGUCUCAGUAAUGCUGACGGACCGCCUGAUGAAAAAGUUGCUGACGGAAGUUUGAGUGACACCGCGGUGAGUCUCCACGUGGAAGAAGCAGCCCGCAGAGCAAGGAAAAGUUCUCCAGGUAGCAAAAGCGGAAGCGGGAGCAGCAGCGGCGGCGGAAGUGCCGUGCAAUACCAAGCCGGCUUAGGAAAAAAGAGUAAUAGCACUAGCCAGCUCUCCGCGACAGAGUGCAUCAGCGUGGUCGGAUCCAACUUGGACUCAAGGAGCUCUGGUAUUGUUACCCGUAAGCGGAACAGCACCCCCAGCAGCUUUCAGAGGUCCCAGGAGGUCGUGCCGAUGUACCAAAGGCUUGGUGCCACCAAACAACCGGGUUCGGUGGCCAGCGACACCGCCGGAUCCCUCAACUCGAUCUCGAGUUCUGAAGCAAGUUCUUGGUCUCCGUGUUUGAGAUCGACGGGCGAAGGAGGGCAACUCAGUGAAUUUAUCGACGGCCUUGGACCGGGUCAAUUAGUUGGCAGACAAGUACUCGGAGCAUCUUCACUUGGUGACAUACAGUUGGCCCUGAAUUAUACCAAGGGCUAUUUAGAAGUCGAAGUUGUUAGGGCAAGAGAUCUCCAGCCGAAACCAGGCAGUAAAGUACUUCCAGCUCCUUAUGUUAAAGUUUACUUGGUGAACGGUAAAAAAUGUAUAGCCAAAGCGAAAACGACCACAGCGAGGAAAACAUUAGAGCCUUUUUAUCAGCAGCCUCUAGCUUUUAGAGAAAAUUUCCAAGGUUGCAUUUUGCAGGUGACAGUGUGGGGUGACUACGGUCGCUUAGAAGGUAGAAAAGUAUUCAUGGGCGUCGCACAGAUAAUGCUAGACGAUCUGAAUCUCAAUGAAAUGGUGUUCGGAUGGUACAAACUCUUCGGCACCACGUCCCUGGUCAGUGGUCCUCCAUCAGUAGUUUUGUCCCGUCGAUCUUCGGCCAACUCUUUGGAUUCACUAAAACUCUAAUUAACAUAUAAUACUGAAUAAAUUGACACAUACCACACAACAAUUACACUACCAACUAUCAUAAAACUUCCAAACUUAAUAUAAUAAUAGACGUUUUUUAUCAAAGAUAAUUUUAAAAAAAGAAAUCUAAUAUCAGUAAAUAUAUGAAUGAAGCUUUAUACAAAUGUCACGUUAAUGUUUUAAAAUAAUUAAACAAAUAUAUAUAAAAAUAUAAAUAUAUAUUUGCCUUAGGCUGCUUGAUAACUAAACUGUUGAAUGUUGAAUUAAAAUUUAAUUUUUAAUAUUGAAGUUAUUAAUUAAAAUAAUUAAAAAGUUGAUAGAAGAGGGCGGCUCUGAAUACGGUUAAGUGAAACUAUUUUGUAGUAAAUCAUUUUUAAAUUGUAUCACUGAAUGCGUUUGAGGUUGACGAAUUUUAUUGAUACGUUAAUUAUUUAUUUAUUUAUUGUAUAUUAUUAACAUAAUACUUCAUUAGAAUAUAAAUAUAUAUUUUUUAUUUAUAAACAAGUUCAACACUAAAGCACAUCACAUAUCAUGUCAGAUACUAAUGUCGACUAGAACAACUAGUCUUUUAAUAAAUAAUGUAGACGUAGCGGCCAUGUAUCAGGAUGAACGCCAGAUCUAGCUUUAGUGAAAUCAAUGGAACUCGAGUGUACGUCACAUCGAUAUAAACGCAAAUAUGGUGUACUCAACAAUUCCAUCUAUAAAUUAAAUUACACAGGAAUAAAUAAAUAAUUAAAACUGAUAAAAUAGACUUAAUAAAGUUAAGUGAGUGAUUUAUUAAUUUAUAAGUGACUAGUGCGCUAAAAAGGCAUUUAAUCAUAAUAUAUUAAUAUUAUCAAUCGGUUAUCACAAAAGUGACUAAAAUAUAAUAAUAAUAAUAAUAAAAUUAAAGCGUAAAGUUUUUUUUUUAUUGCGACAGCUCGCGAAAUACAGAAUUAUUAUUAAGUGUAUACUUAAUUGGUAUAUUGUUAGAAAAAUUAAUAAUAAUAAUAAUGAAAUCGAAGAUAAAUCCAUUAACGAAUUAUCAACAAAUGAGUAAUAGAUGUAAUUGUAAAUAAUAAUUAUUAAAUAUUUAAAAUUAAAAUGUCCAACAGAAGUUUUCAAUUCUCAAAUAAAAACUUAACUAUAAUAAAGAUAAAUUAGCUUGAAAUAAUUAUAAUAAAAUGUUAGUAAUUAAUUGAAUAAUUGAAAAUUUUUAUAUUUUAAAAAUUAAUCUUUUUUUAAUAAAUUUGCUGGGUGAUUGAAUAAGAAUAUCAAUUCAAUUAGUGUUAUCUAAUCAAAUCAUAAUAAUUUUAGUAAGUCAUCUUUUUUUUUGUGUAUCUAUUGUAAAUAAUUUUACGAACUUAUGUUAUGAAUUUGUGUGGACACUAAUUGUGUGGAAUAUUGGAAUAUUUAGGUGAUAAUUAUGAUUGAUGAUAUUUACGAGUUUUGAGAAAGAUUAUGAUGAUUUAGAAGG
rnacentral:misc_RNA from 1 species